rnacentral:rRNA from 1 species
UACCCGAAUGGGGAAACCCAGUGUGAUUCGUCACACUAUCAUUAACUGAAUCCAUAGGUUAAUGAGGCGAACCGGGGGAACUGAAACAUCUAAGUACCCCGAGGAAAAGAAAUCAACCGAGAUUCCCCCAGUAGCGGCGAGCGAACGGGGAGGAGCCCAGAGCCUGAAUCAGCAUGUGUGUUAGUGGAAGCGUCUGGAAAGGCGCGCGAUACAGGGUGACAGCCCCGUACACAAAAGCGCAUGUGCUGUGAGCUCGAUGAGUAGGGCGGGACACGUGGUAUCCUGUCUGAAUAUGGGGGGACCAUCCUCCAAGGCUAAAUACUCCUGACUGACCGAUAGUGAACCAGUACCGUGAGGGAAAGGCGAAAAGAACCCCGGCGAGGGGAGUGAAAAAGAACCUGAAACCGUGUACGUACAAGCAGUGGGAGCACAGGUUUACCUGUGUGACUGCGUACCUUUUGUAUAAUGGGUCAGCGACUUAU